AGUAAAGUGGCUGAACAGUAGGCAGUAAAUUGUAAAUUUACUUAUGGGUUGAAUUACCCCUUUAUUA
rnacentral:tRNA from 1 species